CAGCCGCCGCGGUAAUACGUAGGUGGCAAGCGUUGUCCGGAAUUAUUGGGCGUAAAGGGCUCGCAGGCGGUUUCUUAAGUCUGAUGUGAAAGCCCCCGGCUCAACCGGGGAGGGUCAUUGGAAACUGGGAAACUUGAGUGCAGAAGAGGAGAGUGGAAUUCCACGUGUAGCGGUGAAAUGCAUAGAGAUGUGGAGGAACACCAGUGGCGAAGGCGACUCUCUGGUCUGUAACUGACGCUGAGGAGCGAAAGCGUGGGGAGCGAACAGGAUUAGAUACCCCUGUAGUCCCUGUCUCUUAUAC
rnacentral:rRNA from 1 species